rnacentral:rRNA from 1 species
CCUACGGGAGGCAGCAGUGGGGAAUAUUGGACAAUGGGGGGAACCCUGAUCCAGCCAUGCCGCGUGUGUGAAGAAGGUCUUAGGAUUGUAAAGCACUUUAAGUUGGGAGGAAGGGCAGUUAACUAAUAUUUGACUGUUUUGACGUUACCGACAGAAUAAGCACCGGCUAACUUCGUGCCAGCAGCCGCGGUAAU